GAUGAACGCUGGCGGCGUGCCUAAUACAUGCAAGUCGAGCGAACAGACGAGGAGCUUGCUCCUCUGACGUUAGCCGCGGACGGGUGAGUAACACGUGGAUAACCUACCUAUAAGACUGGGAUAACUUCGGGAAACCGGAGCUAAUACCGGAUAAUAUAUUGAACCGCAUGGUUCAAUAGUGAGAGACGGCUUUGCUGUCACUUAUCGAUGGAUCCGCGCCGCAUUAGCUAGUUGGUAAGGUAACGGCUUACCACGGCAACGAUGCGUAGCCGACCUGAGAGGGUGAUCGGCCACACUGGAACUGAGACACGGUCCAGACUCCUACGGGAGGCAGCAGUAGGGAAUCUUCCGCAAUGGGCGAAAGCCUGACGGAACAGCGCCGCGUGAGUGAUGAAGGUCUUCGGAUCGUAAAACUCUGUUAUUGGGGAAGAACAAAUGUGUAAGUAACUAUGCACGUCUUGACGGUACCUAAUCAGAAAGCCACGGCUAACUACGUG
rnacentral:rRNA from 1 species